UCAAAGCUGUCCAAAAUAGGACAUGCUUCCUAUGAUUAUUUAGUGUAAAUGCUUGUUUAAUUGGAGUAUAUUGCUGUCCAAAACAGGGUAGGUUACCUAUGUUUGUCUUAUUUGACGUAAUUAGUAAUUUGUUAAUGAAAUAAAUGAAUAGAAAUGGAUGUUUUGCCAUAGGCUCAGUAUAUGAAAUGUGUUGUUAUAUGUUUGAAAAUAUUUUAAGUAUUUGAAUGACAUGAAAUUCGAUUAGAUAAAUG
rnacentral:lncRNA from 1 species